rnacentral:rRNA from 1 species
GGUAAUUAUCGGAUACUGGGCGUAAGCGCACGCAGGCGGUUUGUUAAGUCAGAUGUGAAAUCCCCGGGCUCAACCUGGGAACUGCAUCUGAUACUGGCAAGCUUGAGUCUCGUAGAGGGGGGUAGAAUUCCAGGUGUAGCGGUGAAAUGCGUAGAGAUCUGGAGGAAUACCGGUGGCGAAGGCGGCCCCCUGGACGAAGACUGACGCUCAGGUGCGAAAGCGUGGGGAGCAAACAGGAUUAGAUACCCUGGUAGUCCACGCCGUAAACGAUGUCGACUUGGAGGUUGUGCCCUUGAGGCGUGGCUUCCGGAGCUAACGCGUUAAGUCGACCGCCUGGGGAGUACGGCCGCAAGGUUAAAACUCAAAUGAAUUGACGGGGGCCCGCACAAGCGGUGGAGCAUGUGGUUUAAUUCGAUGCAACGCGAAGAACCUUACCUGGUCUUGACAUCCACAAAACUUUCCAGAGAUGGAUUGGUGCCUUCGGGAACCGUGCAACAGGUGCUGCAUGGCUGUCGUGCAGCUCGUGUUGUGAAAUGUCGCGUUAACUCCC